UUAGUGGCGGACGGGUGAGUAACGCGUGGAUAACCUGCCGUAUACCGGGGGAUAACACUUAGAAAUAGGUGCUAAUACCGCAUAAGCGCACGGGGCUGCAUGGCCCAGUGUGAAAAACUCCGGUGGUAUAAGAUGGACCCGCGUCUGAUUAGCUUGUUGGCGGGGUAACGGCCCACCAAGGCGACGAUCAGUAGCCGGCCUGAGAGGGUGGACGGCCACAUUGGGACUGAGACACGGCCCAAACUCCUACGGAAGGCAGCAG
rnacentral:rRNA from 1 species